AUAAUUUCACACAAAAAAUGUUUUGAUACCUUUGUAUUAUAAACGAAACUUAAACUAACUUAUCCUUAACGAGACUCCCAUUGCAUAAUCUAAACUGAUAUUUCACUUUUUGCAGCAUCCAGACUGGGUGCCAUCCUUAGUUCCUUGGGCACACUUGCAAUUGCAUCCAGCGUCACACUGUUUGCCUUGUCCACAGCCCGAUGUACAUUUACAAUCUGCAGAAACAGAAAACACACCGUCCAGAAAAUUGCCAAUUUAAAAUCACUAUUUCAGGUCACUCACCGUUACCACAACACUUGCACGGCAUCUUGUCUGGUCUAUCAGUGUAAUUGAGAGUACUUUUCCUCUAAUCGCGCUUAUCAACUGCUCUUGCACACACAAACACUGCAAUCUGUCGAAUGAUGCAGUCCGCGUCGGGUUAUGAUACUUUUAUAGGUAAUUUUAGGCAUCCUACUCAGCGGAAAGCACGAGGCAAAAGUGCCGCUCGAUGGAUAUAGUUAGUGUCGUGUGCAAUCGUGGCGGUCCGCGCGAACCAAAACAUACGCAUCGCGCCAUGCACCCGUCGCUGUCGAAGUUAAUUUGCGCUCAUUCGAGAUCGUUCCCGAAGCUCUAAUGGCAGACUUUUGAUGACGCCGUUUCGUGUGUAUACUUCGCAAAGCUUUUUCGCUACGGUCCCCCCUGGAGGGUUCCGCGUGGAACAACAAACGAGAUAAGAGAACGAUGACGCCUUUCCACUUGGUGGAGGAAGUUCAUCCACCUAAAAGUUAGACAAAAAAAAAAUUACAACAAACAGUUUUUCAUGGAAUAAUAAAAGUGUUAACAGACUUGGAAACUAUUCUGCAGCAACAUUUCUAGUUGGAAGAGUUGCACACGACCCUUAAACCUGGGUUCACUGUUCAACAUAAUCGUAAUGCUCACGGCACUAUCGCAAUCGAACACUUCAGAUCACCUAUAAAAUGACAGACCUCGAUAGUGGAUGUAUCAUUCGAAGGUGCGAGCCAACCAGGUGGAAGAUCCGAUUCCAGAAUUGACUGAUAAGCAUAGUGAAGUGAAACGAUCAAUCAGAAAACAUCAUCAAAAUGCCGUGCAAGUGUCGUGAAAAUAAUUGUAAAUGUGCCGCUUCUUGCGGACAAGGAAAAACUUGCGAGUGCAAAUGUGACUGCACAGAGUCAUGCUGUCCAGACUGCGUCAAAACGGGAUGCUGCAAGAAGUGAACCAGCGGGACGUUAAAAACAACGUUAUCGAUUAUUACAGCAUUACUUUGUUGUGAACGAUAUGAGUUGAACACAAUAAAUUAAAGCAGAACAAAAA